CCUACGGGAGGCAGCAGUGGGGAAUAUUGCACAAUGGGGGGAACCCUGAUGCAGCGACGCCGCGUGGGUGAGGAAGUACUUCGGUAUGUAAAGCCCUAUCAGCAGGGAAGAAAAUGACGGUACCUGACUAAUAAGCCCCGGCUACCUACGUGCCAGCAGCCGCGGUAAUACGUAGGGGGCAAGCGUUAUCCGGAUUUAAUGGGUGUAAAGGGAGCGUAGACGGCGUGCCAGGUCAGGUGUGAAAGGCCGGGGCUCAACCCCGGGACUGCAUUGGAAACUGGGAUGCUGGAGUGCCGGAGGGGCAAGCGGAAUGCGGGGUGUAGCGGUGAAAUGCGUAGAUAUUGGGAGGAACACCGGUGGCGAAGGCGGCUUGCUGGACGGUAACUGACGUUGAGGCUCGAAAGCGUGGGGAGCGAACAGGAUUAGAUACCCGGGUAGUC
rnacentral:rRNA from 1 species